rnacentral:rRNA from 1 species
GUGGGGAAUUUUGGACAAUGGGGGCAACCCUGAUCCAGCCAUGCCGCGUGCGGGAAGAAGGCCUUCGGGUUGUAAACCGCUUUUGUCAGGGAAGAAAUCCUUUGGGUUAAUACCUCGGAGGGAUGACGGUACCUGAAGAAUAAGCACCGGCUAACUACGUGCCAGCAGCCGCGGUAAUACGUAGGGUGCGAGCGUUAAUCGGAAUUACUGGGCGUAAAGCGUGCGCAGGCGGUUUUGUAAGACCGAUGUGAAAUCCCCGGGCUCAACCUGGGAACUGCAUUGGUGACUGCAAGGCUGGAGUGCGGCAGAGGGGGAUGGAAUUCCGCGUGUAGCAGUGAAAUGCGUAGAUAUGCGGAGGAACACCGAUGGCGAAGGCAAUCCCCUGGGCCUGCACUGACGCUCAUGCACGAAAGCGUGGGGAGCAAACAGGAUUAGAUACCCGGGUAGUCC